GCCGAUGACUUUACUGAUUUUUCGAGAGGUGGUGCAUGGCCGUCGUCAGUUCGUACCGUAAGGCGUUCUGUUAAGUCAGAUAACGAACGAGACCCUCGCCCUUAAUUGCCAACCCAUUCUCCGGAGUGGGCGCACAUUAAGGGGACCGCUGGCGCUAAGUCAGAGGAAGGAGAGGUCAACGGUAGGUUAGUAUGCCCCGAAUCUCCCGGGCUACACGCGCGCUACAAAGGAUAGGACAAUGGGAUGCAAUACCGAGAGGUAACGCGAACCCGAAACCUAUUCGUAGUUCGAACUGAGGGCUGUAACUCGCCCUCACGAAGCUGGAUUCCGUAGUAAUCGCGGGUCAACAUCCCGCGGUGAAUAUGCCCUGCUCUUU
rnacentral:rRNA from 1 species